rnacentral:rRNA from 1 species
GAUGAACGCUGGCGGCGUGCCUAAUACAUGCAAGUCGAGCGAACAGAUGAGGAGCUUGCUCCUCUGACGUUAGCGGCGGACGGGUGAGUAACACGUGGAUAACCUACCUAUAAGACUGGGAUAACUUCGGGAAACCGGAGCUAAUACCGGAUAAUAUAUUGAACCGCAUGGUUCAAUAGUGAAAGACGGUUUUGCUGUCACUUAUAGAUGGAUCCGCGCCGCAUUAGCUAGUUGGUAAGGUAACGGCUUACCAAGGCAACGAUGCGUAGCCGACCUGAGAGGACGAUCGGCCACACUGGGACUGCAACACGGUCCGGACUCCUACGGGAGGCAGCAGUGGGGAAUUUUUGGCAAUGGGGGAAAGCCUGACGGAGUCAGGCCGCGUGAGUGAUGAAGGCCUUCGGAUCGUAAACCUCUUUUGUUAGGGAAGAACAACUGUGUAAGAACAUACGCCCGGCAUGACGGUACCUAAUCAGAAAGCCCCGGCUAACUACGUG